GACUUCAGCAGAAAAAGAAUCACCUCAUUAAAGGAAAAUUGUGCCUUAUCCCCACUACUCGAAGAUGCAACCAUCUCCCUGGUCACAGCCACUUUUUUCCUUUUUUUCUCACUCCAUUGUAUGUGUGUGUGGUGCGGCAGGGGAUAAGGGGAAUAAUCUCUCUCCAGUAUAAGAAGUGUGUGGACCUUUACAGGGGGUCCCAGAGAGCCUUCUUUCUGCUAUGCGAGGAUACAAGAGGAAUUCAACAAUCUGCAAUCUGGAAGAUAACCCUGCCAGAACCCAAUCAUGCUGGCACCCUGAUUUUGAACUUUCAACCUCCAGAACUGUGAGACAUCAAUGUAUUUUGU
rnacentral:lncRNA from 1 species